rnacentral:lncRNA from 1 species
CUUUGUUUUUGUUUUUUUUGUUUUGUUUUCUUUGCAGAUUGGAAAACUGAACCAGAUAAAAAUAAAGCAGCAUCCUUAUACACAAAGGAAAUAAUUCUCCAACAUGAGAUGAGAAAGCCCAUCUUGAUGACCAUGGAUUUGAGGAUGGACAAGGAAGAUCAAGACAGAGAACUUGUUGCAUUCUACAAACAAAACAGCGUAGAAUGGGCAAGCCCUGUGAAGAGCAGACUCCAAGGUGGUAUUAAAAAAGUAGAAAUACAUUUAUUCAGUGGCAUUCCUAGCUGGGUUUUAAUGGCCAUGUCUCUUUUUUUGUUGGGGGGGGUGCUGUUGCUGUAAAUUGCUAAAAUGUAACUUUUAGCCCAUUAUUUUAAAACAGGAAAUACUGCAAUGGUGAACCAGGUGAACCAGGUCAUCUUGUUCCAUCAUCAUCACAAUUUCUCAUAGAGAGUGGUCUUUUCCUAGUUGCAGGAUGAAUGAUUGGACAUUCUAUUCUACAUGGUGGACCUCGGCUGUCUGGAGUCAGCCAAGCAAUAGUUCAUGUACUACUAGGUUGUUCACCUGAGACUGCUACAGUGCAAAUAGAAGACUGUCCUGACUAUGAUAUUCAUGAAACCAUAAAACCGGUAUUUACAUUAGUUGCAUAAUUUAGGUUUAAUUUAAACUAGUCAUAAUUGCAUUCAAAUUUUUUACUUUCAUUUAAUAUUAUUCUUCAUGAAGCUUGAUGGAGAGGCUGAAAUCAUAGCAGUGAAUAUCAAGCUGUCCUUGACCUGAGUCUUGCUUGGGAUCUGCCUGGCCCAACCAAAGAAAACCGGAAGUGGCUUUUUGAGUGCCUUUUAUCAUAUGCGGUAGUAUUGUUUUUAUUUUGUUAAAGCAAUUUUUUUCUUUUGUUUAAUUAACCUUCACACUUAAGCAUUUUGUACUAUUAUAAUUAUUGUAUUUAUGAAACCUAAUAAUGUAAUAUAUGUUAUACAAAAAGUCAUUGGAAGGAGAUUACGGCAGUUGAAACAAAUACGUAAAGGACUCAAAGAAACCAGAGUGUGGCCACUGGUGACUGAAAGGACAGAUGUGGAUAUUUAUCCGAGGGAAUGUGAAAAUUCGCUCACCCCAUUGAUGCUGCUGCCCUGUAUCUGCUGGCCCUCUGAUAGCAGUGUGGAUGAUGAUGAUGACGAUGACAAUGACAAUGACGAUUGUUCACUAGAAGAUAGAUGUUGUAUCUCAGGGUAUUUGCGUCGCUUCAUUGAAACCGCAUCAAGCUCUGACCUUAAGGCCUUGGUGAAAUUUUGGCUGGGGUGGGAAGUGCCAGAUGGAAAGAUGGUAGUGGAAGUUGUUACUGCUGACAUGCCGAAGUCCUCCACUUGCUUCAAUAUGCUACGAUUACCAAGUUAUUACAACAACAACAACAACAUUUAUUUCUUAUAUAGCCCAAAAUCACAUACAGUAUGUCUCAAUGGGCUUUGACAGGCCCUACAGUUGACACCCCCCACACUUGACCCUUCUGCACACAAGGAAAAAAAAGAAAGGAAGAAACCUUGGGAAGGAGUGAUACAGAGAGGGACCCCCUUCCAGGGUAGAGUGAGCCUGCAAAUGGUGUCAGUGCAGGGUUGGAUAUGAUAUAAUGAGUCCUACAGUUGUAGGGUUGGAGAAGUCCAGGAUGUAUUCAGUGUCAUGGUCUAGAUUACGUGUCCGUAAUGAUGUUACUGGUCCAUUUGAAGAUCCCUGAAGCUGUAGUUGUAAUGGUGGUGGUGGUUGUGGUGACCCUCUGGUUUGUUUCAUGUUUUGUCCUUGUAAACCAGUUGUCAGGAACCAGGAUUUAUUUGCUGGUCUCUUCACUGGGGUCUGCCAGUAGUCUGGGUGCUUGAUUCCGUGUCUCGGAGAAAAACAAACAGAAGCAGCGGCAGACGGUUGCACUGUACGACCGAUACUGAAAUCUGUGGUUAUAAUGGUAUAUUGGUGCUACAGUGGCCCGGUACCCUAACUAGGACAGCCUAACUGGUGAAUUUAACUUUGUCUGUGUCUAACAGGGGGACUCUGUGAUAAACUGGACUUUAUAAUUGACACUGCGUCAAAAUCAAUUAUUACAUGGAUUUCAGCCAUUUUAGGGACAAGCUCCUUAAGUCCAUUGGCACUUCUGAGUUUGGUUUUGGGCUCGUACAGUUAUGUAAAAUCUAAUACAGACACCAUGUCUACAAAUGAAGUUACAGUCCCACAGUUUUUCCUGCAUUGUUUGGAAUAAUUUGCACACGUUCAUGUAGUAUUGCCGUUUUAUUUUUGAGACUUUGGAAACUUCCAUGCAAUAGCUUACAGCAUUCCUUCUCUGG